UACUAACGUUUUUGUUCUGCAUCUAAUGUUUUCAUUAGGAAACUGGGCGCAACCAAGACAAGGAGGGAAGGAGGGAAGGAUUAAAGAGCAACAGAGUGAACACAGAGUUAAGGAGGAGAGGGAGCCAUUUGGUCUUUCAGUCAUUUUCUGAAUUACAGGGGAUUUUUGGGGGAACGUUUCCUCUCUCACACACUGUUUCUGUCAUCCCCUUCACUUUUCGUCACCAUGAUAUCCCCUCUUUCCUCCUCAAUCGGACUCCUCCUCCUCCUGAUUGGCUCCUCAGCAGCAGGUCCUGAGCCUGGCCUGCGCCCUCGAGCGGUGCGUUCAAGUGCCUGUCAGGAGCACACAAACCUUCACAGCCGCCUGGAUGUGGUGGAGAAGAAGGUGGAGGAGACUGUGGACAAGCUGGAGGUGGAGCUGACGUCUCUUCUGGAUGUCAUUGAGGCCCCAAAGUGGCGUCCACUGUUGGACAGCACGAGAAGGACAACAGUGGACAUCCUGGAGGAGCCGGAGCAGAGAGGCCCUGUCCUGAACUGACCAGACAUCCCGAGGAGGGAAGAGGAGGGAGAGCCUCGCUCGUUCUUGGACUCUGAAGGAUUAAAUCUGUCUCCAUGAAUUGUUUUUUUUUUUUCAAGUGUCAGUGCAUCAAAAUGAAGUUCGUAUGUGAACGGAGGAGGCGGCUCUUUACACAAAGCUGAGCUUGUCUGCAUUAUUUAUUCAUACUAAUCCUGCGACAGCCUUGUCUCUUCCCAGGCUUCAGAUUCUGACCCCAUGCAGUCAAUAGCGGCACAGCUCAUGUUGACAGAGCCAGUCAAACAGAUUAAUCCACUUUGGCCAUCCCGGCUCAGCCCAUUCUCUCCAGCGCCCCCUACUGACGCUGUAUCUGGGUGGAAAUGACACAGACGAAGAUGUAAAAUGACUGCAAGGAGUUUUAUUUCUUUAUCAAAGCAGUUGAAGCAUGUUUUUAAACACACAGAGCAGUUUCAGCUGAUAAAGUAACCAGGCUUUCACUGAUUCCCUGCAAAACAACAACAUUAUGCAAAACAGGUUCACAAGCAGGAAAAAAGCUGCGUAAAUCACAUCUUCUUCUUGUUUCAUUUUCUCACCAGGACGCUGACUAACUGUAUCCACAGAGGUCACACAUCUACAGGAGCGUACACCCCGGUUCAUCCAUCAGGCAGGGAACGCUUGAAUAGGAGACAUGCUGUUGCACGAUGCCUUAAAAAACAAACAAACCAAAACAAAAAACACCUAACAGCAUUCAGAACAUCAACACAUAAAGACUCAUGUCCAGGAAGGUUUGCAAGCACAUUCAAAUCAGGAUCGAUCACUGAUAUCAAGAACAAAAUGCCAGUGCUGUAACUUAGAGAAAAGCUACACUUAAACAAAAUCCAGUUCUUAAUCCAUUUACAAAUGAUGAACAUAUAAUUACACACCCACUUUAAGCCUACGUUGAUUCUGAUGGAGUGUAGUUUUAGCUUUCUUUUUCACAAAUGGAGACAUUCAGUGUUUUAAUUAUGCAGCGAAUUCUGUGAUGGGGUGAAGUGAAAACCUGCCCCACUUCCAAUUUCCUCUUCCCCUUGCUGCACAGACAAUAACGCAACACAUCAACCCACAACAGAGCAUCACACACGGCUGCUGACCUCAUUCCACCCAUACAGCACAAAGUGUGAGCCCAGAUACUGUAACAGAGCGUAAAGACGACCUACAAGAUGCCAGAAGGUACUGCAUAUCAUCUACAAAUAUCAUGCCGUCCAUAUAACACUGCAGAUUAUAGGAUUAUCACUUUUAUUUGUUUGUACAGUUCACAAAACUCACUGUUCAGAAACAGUCAUGUUAUACUUUGAUUUGGACUGCGUCAGGUAUCAGGUGAGUAUCGAGGUUUGCUAUUACCGAAAGCUUGUGCAUGCACAAAUCAGCCAGUAAGGCUCAAGCUCAAGGCUUUGGCAAAAACAGGCUUAUACUGUAAAGGUACAUGCAAAAGAAGCGCAGGGCUCGAUUAUAUUAAAUUCAUCAUGUAUCUUGGCGAACUUGGAAGGUGCCACUUUUAAAUCCCUUUAGAGAAGCUUCUUAAUCUAAUAAUGCAGAGUAGUUAAAGAAAUGGUUGUAUGUUUUGGGAAGCACGUCGGUCUGCCUCGUUUCUGAUGGAUGAGAAGGUCGACACCGCUGACACCGACUGACCUGAAACAACCAGCCUGCUGUCAGCGCUACAGUCUUCCACACAUCUCAGACAUAAACGACGGCUCUGUAACACAGCUUGUUUUGUUUUUCAUCAUCUACUGAAACCAUGAAAACAUGUAAAUACACAAAACAACAGCACAUUCUGAAAAGUUUUAAACUCCUGAAAUAAUAUUUUAUUACAUAUCGCAAUUAAAAACAAUAAGUUGAUUAUCGGGAUAAUUGCUAAUGUCCUCAGGAGUGAUUUGAAAACGUUGUUGAAGGAUUUCAUUUGGACUCUUCCAUAAAGUCAUGACUCCUGCUUCUGUCAGAAUGAACCAACUCACACAGUGUUUCUAUUAUCAUUAAUAAAGGGACCUUAUGAUUUAUAAUAAGAUGAUGAAAGUUUCAUUGUUUUUUCCCCUGAUGCCUCAGGCUGCCUUCAGCCUGGUCCAGUCUCCAAAACAACAAUUUGUGUGUUUACAGUGAGUUACUUUGUGUAACCUGACAGAGAACACGUGUGCAGAGUGAUUUUUACAUUCCUGUUUGUGUAGAUUUGUGUUAACUAGUUAAUUCAGUCAGAAACACACUUCCUGCUCCCUCCUGCCUUCAGCCUUUGGGCUGAGAUAAGCGCCUCUAAUUUUGGACUGGUGGUGUCGAUCUUCUCAUUUCUUUCACUUCGUAAACACAGCGAACUGGUGUACUUCCCAAAACAUACUCUGAGGUCUACCCCUUACCUGAAAUAUAUACUUUAUACAUCACAUUAUUAUAUAAAUGAUAGUAUUUCUUCACUUGCAGAAGGAACGUUGACUUUACGUUAUACUGGGAAAAAGAGACAUACAUUCACUCACUCAAAGUUCCUUAGAAAUGGUUACGCAAAUGGUAGAAAAGCUUUGGCAUAUUUUGCCUACAAGUUGUGCCUGCACACUUGGAAAGAAGAGAAGGAUGAAGCAGCAUGAAGCUUCACACAACUCUUCCUUUAGUUUAUACGUCGAGUUCGCAGUCCCACAUAAAACUGUGGCGAGUUUAAUUACCCUACACUAUAUGCUAUUUACACGGUUUUCAUUUUAAUAGGCCUCAGGCUGUUAAGGUGGACUUUUGCUACAUGUUCCCAGCUGUUCAGACUGAGAUGGAUGGCGCCACCUUAAACGUACCACUACAACGAUGACAGUUAUCGACUAGUUUGUCUACACAAUUUGAAGGUCCAACAGGGCACAGCUACACAUUUUAAGUACAGCCCCAAAACGAACUCUACAGGGAGAAGAUCUUUAUACUAACCAAGCACUUAAAGAGAUGACAGCGUCCUGUCAAGCAAAUGGAGCUUCUCCUGGAUUAUUAAAAGAUUUCUUAUUGGCAUUUAAUCCCCAGAGCAGAGGUCCUGGGUGUGACACAAUACUGAAUGUUGGAAACCACUACAGACAGUGACGAGCACCUUUCAGUACGAUUGCUGCCCUGGUUUCUCCAAAAUGGCGCGCACCGUCAUCCAAAACAAGCUUGGGGGGAGAGUAACAUUUAAAGGGAAAAAUCAUUCUGGCCUAUUUAAAGCAUCCACGGCGACAGUGUGAUUAACACAUACUGAUUAUCAGGCACCACUUUAAACAUGAAACCAGCCACACUGUCACGGCCGACUGAAGAGAGGAGAGGCGUCCCGACAGGAGGGAGGCGCUCUGCCCUGGAGGACAUUGAAAACUUUUUCUUCUCCUACAAAUUAGGGCGCACGUUAGAGAAGACACACUGAGGGGAAGAGUGAAGUGAAGACACAAGCAAUAACAUAAACUGAGUGCCUGCAUGUGCUGAAUAAUUCAGCCGUCCCCAUCAGAUUGUGAACAGGACGGCCGAGGGGAGGUGCCGCCGCCAAAACCACCAACUCCACAAAAAACUGCUAUUGCUCAGGAUGUCAUCAUGCUCGUGCAAGGUUUCUGCUCCUGAACGCCUCCUGUUAGUGAUACCUUAUUUGUCAUGCUAUACAGUAACAUUGCAUAGAAGUUAGAGCUUACUCUGGCGGGGUGGGGGUGUGUAUGGUGGGGGGGCAGGUACAGUAGGUGGAGACUCUCUGGAAAUCUGAUUCAUUCAUGCCUUACCGGAAGGAUGCUACAAAAACAUAAAAAAAGACAUAUGGGGGAAAUGGGAGGAGCCAUUUUAGGUCCUGCUGUGUGUUUGCCUCCACGCCGAGCUACAAUACAGGAGAGAGGUGAGAGCGAAUCAAACACUGCAGCAGCCAGAGAGACCUGCCGAUGUUAGCAGCUGCCAGGGGACGAGCACACCGAGACGCACAUGCUCAGCUUGGAGGAGGACUCGGGCUCCGGAUCAGGACCGGCUUCAGGUUCUGGCUCAGGCACGUCGUCGUCGGUGGCUCCGGCCUCCCCGUCCCCGUCCCCGUCCCCGCUGGCGUCCUCGGCCCCGGCCUCUGACUGACCCUCCUCCUGACGCUUUUUCAAUCUGAGACAGGAAAAACAGAUGUUUUACAUGCACUUUAAGAAAACAUUGAUGCUGAACUCUCAUUAAAGCUUUGCAUUUUCAACUUUACAACUUUGUGCC
rnacentral:lncRNA from 1 species